UAUAUUUUCAAUAUGGCGGCAAGUUACUGCCUUGACUGAAAAUAGCUUUUAUUCUAGUAAUGAGGGAUGUUUCUACUUUGCUGCACUAGAAUAACCCAAGUCGAACAAACACAACUUCAAUCAAAUUUCUUUGACCGCCUCAGUCGGGCUUUGACCUUUAGUGGCGGACAUUCCAGUUACAAUCAGAAAAUGUUAGGCUGUUAGAAACACAGCAAAGCUGAACGUUUAUUAUUUGAAUGGCCUAUAAUUUUGCUAAAUAAAAGACAUAAUUCUCUAUUAAA